CGCUUGCCGCGCACACAGGUGUCGCCCCUGGCUGCUUGUAUGUUGCAGGAGAUAGAGGAGAGGAGCACGCGAAUUUGCUAAAUCCAAUAGUGGCGGGAAGAUCAUCUUCAAGAUGAGGACUGCAUUGCUUUGUUUUGCUUUGGGGGUGAUGCUGCGAGGAACUGAGGCGAAGGAUUGUGCGUGUACUGGGAAGUCCAUGUGUCACUGUGAAGGAGUUAAAGGCAAUAAGGGAGAAAGGGGUUGUGCAGGAGAGAUGGGUCCACCUGGGUUGGUUGGGCAUCCAGGCUCAGAGGGUCACCCUGGACCAGUGGGGCCAAAGGGAGAUGUGGGCCCUCAUGGACCUCCAGGAACAGAUGGCGAUCGGGGACCUGAAGGCAAAGAAGGAUUUUCUGCGACACCAAGGUCUACCGG